CCUCGUAUUUCGUUAUUGCCAUCGGUGCUUUCCUCGCUGCACUUUUCUGCUGUUGUUGCGUGAGGUGCUGCUGCUGUGGGAACAGCUCCUCCGAAAAGGACGGCUAUGAGACCGCUGCUGUUGAGCCUGCUGUGCGUUUCCAUGAGCCAAAUUGCAGUAUGACCAUGAGCCUGUUGUCCCGAGGCCAGAGCAACUCAGUCAGCCCCGUGGGACACACUACCCUGCUCAGCUGCCUUAUGCUCCGACUUGCCCACUGGUUUCAGCUGACGGUCCAGCCUUCCCUGUCUGUUCUGACCCUGAGGUGCGGUUUGAGCUGGACGGGAUGGCCGUACCCUCGGCUUCCCCACUCACUUCAGACUGAACUUACUGUGAUGUUUAUACCUCAGACAAACUCAACUCCCUCUGAAAUUCUUGAUUUUUGAAAGGCACACUCAAAUUUGUAAACCCAAUCACUAGUGUGACAUUAAAAGAAUAGUUUGACAUUUUGGGCUUUAACUGGUUGCUGAGGGAAACUACAGGUAUUCCUUUCCAGAAACAGAGAUCACUUUAACUCUGAGUCAGUUACCGCGAUAACUUACUCUGUUAAUCUAACCUGCUCGCUGGCAGGUUUUCUUCAACAAAGAUUCUCUUUUUUCCCCUGCCGAGCCUAAACAAGCUUCAUUUCUUCAUUCAAACGAUUGAAAUCAAAGUGCAUAUUGGAGCACCUUAAUUUGCAGAAGUUUACACCUGGAGAAGACGAUCAUUAGUUUGUUACCCAAGACCCAUCUUUACUAACGUUACCUCUUUUAUGAUCCAUCAGUCAUCACUGUAAGGACAGAGACAGUGAUCUCUGUCCUUACAUUCAAAUAUUACACAUCGUGGACUCAUCAUCAAUUCAGAAUAAAAUCUAUACACUGUCUGUCUAUAUAACACUGUGAUUCUGUGGACAUUAAAGACGACGGCCAGGUUGUCAAUUAGUUCCCUGCACUGAAACAUUUACGAAGCAUUAAUCACUGUAAAUUAAAAAAAAAUCUGUGUGAAGCUUUAGACGCAUGAGAGAAUGAUCAAUGAAUAAUCACUUCUCAAGGUGUGAAUGGCCGCACUGAUCAAAAACUCCUAUUAUAGUCACGAAAUUGUAGAUUAUGUGAUAUUUCUGAGAGAGGAUGAUAGUAGUGCAGCUGAAAAACUGGGCUAAAUGUAGUUUAAA